rnacentral:lncRNA from 13 species
AUGGGAAGGGGAAGGGGCAAAGUCAGGAAGGCAAACCUAAAUAUUAUGGGCGGGCAGAAAAAGCCAGUACGCAUGUGCAAAACGCCGCGGCAGGUAGGCGGGGACGGAAAGGCGGUGCCGAGAGCUGUGUUGUGCCCGGAAGUGCCUUCCUUCCUCCCGGGUCUGCGCGGACGGGGCCUCCUUAACUCAUUUGUCCUCGCCCCUCCCCGUCCUGCUACGCGUUUUGGUUCCCGGUUGGUGCUUCCUGUUUGCAGCCGUUGCAAGCAUCUGAGAAUGAGGAAUAAACUCAGGAAGGAUCGCAACUGAGGAUGAUUAUUAAAGUUACCGGGUAAGAGACUGGAUGGCCGAAGGAAAAGGGCUAAGGGAAAGAUGAAGGAAAUGUUUCCAGAUAGGAUUAGUUCUCCUAAAAAUCAUGUAUGUAUCCCAAGAACAGCUGGGCUAAUGUGACUAAAUUUAGCUUAAUUUUUUCCCACUGAAAUACUGUGCUCUGUAUUUUGUGACCUUUGUUUUACACAUUUGGAUAUUCCACCCUGGUCAGAUUGAUUCAGAGUGGCCGUCGCAUUUGAAAAAUGGGCAGACAUUUCAACCCCUUAGUCAAUUGUGUUUCACCUGUCACUGUCAGGGCAGCUCACUAAGAGUAAAAAAGAAACUUUACGUCACUUUCCAAUGCAAUUUGGACUGAAAAUGAGGCUGUGGAUUUAAAUUGGCCUGAGAUGGACGCCUGUGUCAUCAAGAAGGAACAUCUAGGAAAGCUAAAGGUGCUUUGGAAGUAAAUAAGAGCAAAAGGUCAGAGUGACAAGUAGGUGGACUGAGAGAGCAGGAUUAAUGAAAGAUUGUAUUAAUUGGGGCCCGCAUGGUGGCUCACGCCUGUAAUCCAGCACUUUGGGAGGGCAAGGCGUGUGGAUCACUGGAGGUCAGGAGUUCAAGACCAGCCUGAUGAACAUGGAGAAACCCCAUCUCUACUAAAAAUACAGUUAGCCAGGCGUGGUGGCGCAUGCCCGUAAUCCUAGCUACCCAGGAGGAUGAGGCAGGAGAAUGGCUUGAACCCAGGAGGCAGAGGUUGCGGUGAGCCGAGAUCGCUCCAUUGCACUCCAGCCUGGGCAACAAGAGCUAAAACUCCGUCUCAAAAAAACAAACAGCAAAAAACAGAAUGUAUUAUGUAACUUCUGAAAGCUUAAGUAAACCUUAAAUUGUCUAGUUCAAAACAAUUCAAUGAAUGAAUACUGCUCCCUCUUUUGAAUGAGAAUAACCUUUGCAGUUAUUCUAUAGUUGUUUUAUAUUUGUUGGGCUAUUUUAAUGCUUAGGUAAGUUUCAUUUACAUGAUAUUUUAGGAUCUUAUAUAGGAAACAUCUUUUCUAGUCAUGGGAUUGAUAAAGUCCUUGAGUACUAACUUGGAAGAUUCUUCGAUUAUCAAUUGACAGAAGUGUGUUUUCCUUUCAACUAAAAAAGUGUCAUUCAUGGUUUUUAAACUCUGCUAGGAGGAUAUUUGUGACGUGAAAUGGAUAUUUGUGAGGUAAAUUUAGGUGUUAGAACUAAUGCAAAUAUUGUAGUGAAGGAAGGUUUUAUUUUUUAAUUUUAAAUUACUUAUUUGAAAAUUUUAUUUAAAAAUUUUAGCAAACAGUUGGUUGAGCAUCACAGAAAUGUGAUUCACUUCUUGCUAGUCCUUAUCCAGCCGUAUAACCUUGGAUAGGCCUCCUGUCUCUUUGUACUUCAGUUUCCUGAUGUGUAGAUUGAGGAGUCUGUGUGAGAUAAUCUGAUUUUGUUAUCUAGUUAGUAUACUUGGGAAUCAUGUACAGGGAUCAGAAAGCUGAGAAAAAGCCUUCUGAGUCCAGAAUGUGUGUAUGUGUGUGUGAAAAACAUAUAUAUUGUCCUCUGAGAAUACACCUUUUUAAAAUAAAUUCAUUUGAAUGUAAUUAAACCA